CGCAUCCGGACACGCCAAGAGGGUGCCUUGAAUCUAAUCUAAUCUCUCUGUGUCCGGUCUGGUCUCUAAAACGCUGCAUGAUAAAUGAUAAUUACUUAUGAUGGAUGAACACCCACAAAGAAUAAUAUAAAAAGUUAACAACUUUAUUAUAUAUUCACUGUUAAUCACAACAAAAAGGUACCCUUUUGAUGGUUCUACUUUUAUAAUUUUGAUCAGAAAUAAAAUAUUUAUAAUUUUGAAGCAUAAUUAUCUCGAGUAAAUAUGCUUUAAUCCUCUGUGCCUGUGAAGUCUCCCACAAUCUCGAAGAAGAAGAAGUUAAUCAGAGCAUACUGUGUUUGAGGACAAAAUUGGGUUGAACAUUUGUGUUUCUUCUCAUAUGUAGAAAAUCAAUCCGUCUUUAAUUUCUGGGACUUGGAAUCUUUCUCUCGAGCUUUGUUGAUUGCCCAGCUUGUUUGAUGCAUCAAAAGCGCUAAACCCAUUGCAGGGGGUUCUUGUAAACGGUGUUUUCUGUUUUUCCAUGGGAAAGUUGCUCUAGAAACCCGACUUCUUUUGGUGAGUUGGCUUUAAUUACUUUCCUUCUAUUGUAACAGCCAUCAUUUCUAGUGUUAUUGUGGUGUUAGAUUCACUUAUAAGAACUUGGUCUUAAGGAUUUCAUCAAUGUUGGAGAAGAGCAAGCUUCCUUCAAGGUUUCUGUUUUCCUUAGUAACUAUUUCAACAUUCCUUUUGAUCCUUUCUUCUGUUUUCCUUCUUCAAUUUAACCAUGGUUCUUUCCUACCUAGAUCAGUUUUUAAGCUAAUCCUUCUAAAUGGCACCUCAGUUUACUUCAACUCCAAUGUCAAAAGUGAACAAAUGCAAAAUCCUUUACUCUCUGAUAAACCUUCACAUAUCGAUUUUAACCCAACCAAAGGAAAUCGAGUGCCAUGUGCAAAUUCCAAUUCUGGCAGGGAAAUGGGUUCCAGGUUAGGCGGAGGAAGACCCUGUGAUUCAAAUGAUGCUGUCCUAAAGGUAUAUAUGUAUGACUUGCCGCCUCAAUUUCACUUUGGGUUACUGGGUUGGAAAGGAAGGGAAAAUCAAACGUGGCCCAGUAUCAAUAACCCCAAUCACAUCCCAGCAUAUGCUGACGGGUUGAAUUUACAGCAUAGCAUGGAGUAUUGGCUCACACUUGAUCUUCUGUCAUCAAACUCACCAAAAGUGGCCAGGCCCUGCAGUGCGAUUAGAGUGAAAAAUCAUAGUGAGGCAGAUAUUGUAUUCGUGCCAUUCUUUUCAUCCCUGAGUUACAACCGGCAUUCAAAGCUCCAGGGAAAUGCGAAAGUCAGUGUUAACAAGAUGUUGCAGGACAAAUUGUUGCAGUUUUUGACGGGUCGGGAUGAAUGGAGGAGACAUGGAGGGAAGGAUCAUUUAAUUGUAGCUCAUCAUCCAAAUUGCAUGUUAGAUGCAAGAAAGAAGUUGGGUUCUGCUAUGUUGUUACUUGCCGAUUUUGGAAGAUACCCAAUGGAAAUCGCAAAUCUUCAGAAGGAUAUUAUUGGUCCUUACAAUCAUGUAGUUAGGACCAUUCCCAGUGAUGAAUCAGCUUCAUAUGACAAACGUCCUAUAUUGAUAUAUUUCCAGGGAGCGAUAUAUAGAAAAGAUGGAGGAGUUAUUCGCCAAGAAUUAUAUUACCUUCUGAAAGAUGAGAAAGAUGUACAUUUUACAUUUGGAACAGCGCAAGGGAAUGGAGUCAAUGUUGCAGGCCAAGGAAUGGCCUCGUCCAAAUUUUGUCUGAAUAUCGCUGGUGAUACUCCCUCCUCAAAUCGCCUAUUUGAUGCCAUUGCGAGUCACUGUGUUCCUGUAAUAAUAAGUGAUGAUAUAGAGCUCCCAUUUGAAGAUGUCUUAGACUACUCGGAAUUCUGUGUCUUUGUCAAUUCAUCUGAUGCUGUUAAAAAGGGAUACCUACUAAAUUUCCUUAGGGGAAUUGAGAAAGAUCAAUGGACCAGGAUGUGGGAUAGAUUGAAGGAAAUAGUGCAUCACUUUGAAUAUCAGUAUCCAUCCCAGCCUGAUGAUGCUGUUGAUAUGAUUUGGAAGGCAGUCUCACGAAAGAUAUCGUCCCGACGUGUAGAAAUUUUCAGGCAGAAUAGAUACCACAGAUCCCAACUCCUGUUAACAAGUAAUUGAAGUGACACAUGAUGACAUGCAAUUGCAAUUGCAAUUUGCAAGGUACAAAUUUUCUUUGACCUUGCAAUGACUGGAGAUUGAUCAACCAUUUGGCUGGAGUCCUCAUUUUUCAAGGAGGACAGAAGCCUACUUUUAUGGAAGAUCUGAUUCGGAAGACUAAAAGCAUAAAAGCAAGAGGAGAGGGACGAAGAACAUGUAGGGAAGCCUCAGAGAUUCACCUCAAUCGUAAGCCUGGCUGUUUUGGAAGACUCUACUGACAGGUUUGAACAAAAAGUUGAUAGAUGGAACAAUAUCGUUGGGAAGAGAAGCAUCUUUGUUCCCACCCCACCACAUCUCCCUAUCAUUUGCAAUUGCUCUUUUUUACCAAACAGAGACCAACGGGAGUCUUUUGAACUCUCUUCUUAGCUAGCCGACUUGCCAAGUCAUCCGACCAUGCUGACAUGGACUUACAAAACAUAAUCUGCAAUGUAUUCCCUAGUGUCCUGCACAUAUGGCUCCAUUGAAACUGCUAAAGCGUCGUUGGGUCUGUUUCAGAGUGUGUUGUGCUUUGACCUUUACAGUGAGGUGAGCCGAGUUACGAAAUCGUUGUGAGGUGACAAAGUGUUUGGGGGUGUCACUUAGAAUAUUUUGGCGAGGUAAACCUGA